UGCCACACCUUCACGUCCAGAAGAACCAAGGACCUUCCCUUCACUCAGGUGGUAUAAAGCCAAGAACCAACAAGUACCUUUCUCAUACCACCUGUGUUCACUACCCAGAGGAUGACCAUGGGGACAACACAGACACCCACAUGGGUGUUAAUAUGGAUGGCUCUGGCGAUUGGUUUAACUGCCUCUCAAAGUGAGGAUACAUCAAAGGCCACAGUUAACAUCAUCCCCUCAAUGUCAAGGAUGCCUGAGAUUGCAGACAAUGGUGAAAGGACAAUAACCAUGAUGGAGACAGUCAUAGCAAGUUGUGCAACAGGUUUUGUGGAUUAGCUGUUUUUGAGAAGCAUGAAGUAGGCUAGCUCAUUCAUUUAUUGUUCAAGUUCAUAAACAUGGUAGAGAUUGGAUGUACUUUGAAGUCUUUGUUUUUUAGUUGAUUAAAUAUUGAAUUUGGCAUUUACUACUGUGGCCCAUAGAACGCUUUGAAUAACACAUUCAUUAAUGCCAAAAAAGUGUCUGGAGGUAUAAGAAAGUUCAGGAAAUAUUUGUGUUUUUUAAUACAUAUUGAGCCAUAUAAUAACCAUAUUGUUAUUUAUUUUAUUUAUUUAUAUAUA